CAGCCUCGGAGGCGGCGGCAGCAACCCCGGGCGCAGGAAACAUCUCCGCCGGCUCCGGUUGGCUCUCCUGGGCUCUCUUCAUGGCUGGGCUGAAGGUAAUGAGAGGCCCUGAGAUCCCAGAGGGACCAUAUGAGAAUUCUGGACAGUGCUGAAGACUCUUCCUGCAGACACAAGGGGAGACAGGACCAGAGGGUACGCCACCAAGGAAGGCCACCCAGCUGUGUACGUCAGACCCAUUGCUCAAGGACGAGGAUGACCCGGCAGAUCGGGCAGGGGGCCAGGAGGAACUCCCGAGUGCCUUCUCAUCUUAGCCUGGGUGACAGUGUGGCGUGCCCCCUGACCUCUCCUCCUUCCUCCGCUGGACUAAGCGAUGACAUGAAGGGACGUGGCAAUAAGGAAAUUAUCCUCGCCUGAACAUAAACACGAACAAUCCAUUUCCCACAACUCCCCAAGGAGCACAGCUGUGAGACAAGUCAACUGAGAAAGUUCCAGGGCUUCAUUCAGCCCAAGUUCUGGGCACUUGUGCCUUGAGCCCUCCACCAGAGGUGUUGUUGACACGCAGAGAGGUCCAGAAGAAAGGCAUGCUAAGAAAACCUGACCCCUGGUGGAAAUGCAGUCCAGGGAAUGGAAUUGGUCCAUCUUGAAUUUUCGACUGGAAUUUCCAAAAAGAAGACUGAUUUUGUCACCAAACUGAGCUUGGAUCCACUUGCAUGCUGCACAGCAAAGCCAAUCUACUGACAUGAAGGAAAGUACAGUGUUUAUUGCAAGCAUCAAGAAAAGAGAGCAAGCAUCUAGUGCUCAAAAGACGCAAACUCCUGGAUGGUCUGAGGAUCAGAGCCUUGAGAAUGGGCUCUCCUGUAUAUUUCAGGUAAUAGGCAACACUCUUUUACAAAAGGUGCAGAACCAGCAUGACUAAGGAUGGGAACAGAGCACAGGGUUACAGCUAAAGGAACAGACCUAAUAUGGAGUCAGAUUUGUUCUUCCUUAUUACAGUAACAGGGUGAUGUUUUAAGAAUUUUAAUCAUCAGCCUCUGGUUCCAACCAGUCUAGGGUCUACCUUGUGCUCAGCAUGCUCAUCCACCUGGAUGGGGGUGUGGGGGAGUUCUAGCUUCUGCAGAACAACUCAGAUAUGUGUCAGAUUGCUGUGUAUGUCCCUCAAGGAGGAACUAGGACUCUGUUUUAUCACUGAACUAUUAUUUCUUGAUUGCUUUUCCUUUGUGUCUGCAUUCCCUCACUUCCCUAAUUAGUAACUGCUUCAGUCUGCUCUGUGGAACUCAGGAAAGACCCAGGAGAUGAAAGUCUUUUUCUACAAACAAGAAAUGGAGGACAAGGAGGAGCCUGCAGGGACCCCGGCUUGGUUUCAGUGUCAAAGGGAAAUAGAUGUUCCAGGAGUAGGUCACAGAGAAAGGCUUCUCUGCCUUGGAAAGGACAAGGCAUGCUGGGCUGCGUCUCGUUUCUCUUCCCUCUAAGUCUCUCUGGUGCCACCUCUCCCUCCACCCUCAGGUUAUUUGCAUAUGUGUGUUUCCCUGCCCUUCUAGACUGUCAGAUCCCAGAGGCAGAACGCCUCGUGCUGAUUCCCCGCUGUAUUCUCCGUGGCACUACUCUAGUGCCUGGUGCCAAGUUGGUUCUUGGUCAUUGACUGCCUGUCCCUGUAUCUGAAAAUGCACCAGAGAAACAUUUCAAAAAUAGUUGGCUCUCUCUGAUGGGAGUUUUGCUGGCUAGGAAGGUGAUGUAGGGUAACUUCUCAGCAGGGUUUGAAUUUUGAGACCUCGGGAAAAUAGCAGCAGGAUUGGAAGAGAGGCACAUUUCGCUCAGACACACUCUGUUAUCUUUGUUUUACAUUUAAAUGAAACACUUGGGUCUACAUAACAUUUGGAUGACACAUGAAGGGCCAUUUCCUCAGUGUGAUUCGGGUUGUUGAUGGGAGAGCUGAGGCCUCCUGGAGAAAGCUGUUUGUGCUACUGAUUGGGGAAGGGCUGGCUUCCAGAGCGCAGUGAGCUCAUUUUCCCGCGGAGAACUGAUGAACAGUGCCUUUCAGGCAUAGCCAAAGUGAGCUCUCUCUUCAUAAAGUCUGAUCCCCUGAGCUGAAGCUCGUGAGCUCUCAUCUCAACUACACAGGGAGCAAAGAGAUGUCCUCUGCCCUGUGUAGUGAAGAAUUAACCUCCGUCAAAAGAGGUCUGGCCUUGUCCUCAGCUGCUGGGAGGUGAUCUCUGAGGUCUUUCUUCUCUUGGGGGCAGUGGAUCGUCUAACUGUGUGAGUUAGGGUGGGGGCGGGCCAUGCCAGAAAGAUCAGCCACCUGACUCAGGACCCACACUUGGUGGGGCACGUCCCAGGGACUCAACUGAGACCUGGGACACGGCCCUCCUCUCGCCCCACAUUCUUUUUUCCUGUAUCAAAACCAGACCCCAGGCUCUGGGAAUAGGAAAGUAGUUUGUGCUCAGAAAGGGAUCUAUACUGACAUUGAGAGGAUCUAGGAUGCUGGGGGAAGGGGCCAGGGGACAGCAUUCUCCAUAUCCCCCUACAAGCCUGACAAAAAUCUAUCAAUGGUAAGUUUACCAGUUAGCUAGAAAUAUUAAGGGAAUAAAUUUUGAUGGAUUUUAAGGGGCACCUGUACAAAAAAAGAAAAUAGUGAACUAAACAGCACCAGACCAGGUUCUAGCUCAGGUUAACCUCUAAUAACCUCUAUGCAUCUGUGUAACUCAGUCUCCUGUGCUUCAGUUUUCCCAUCUGUGAAGUGGGAGUGAUAGUCUCUGGUCUGAUCACUUCCAAAGGUAUUAGGAACAAAUGAAAUAAUGUGUGUGAAAAAGUUUAGAAACCUGUGACAUAAUAUUUAUAGAAACGGACAAUAUUAAUAUUGUUGUCCCACGUGUAGCCAUUUUAUAGAUGAGAGACUCAGAGGGCAGAAGUGACAAAUAUUGCAAGUUUAUAGAACUGGGAAUCCACGUCCCCUAAUUUGCAUGCUGAUGAUUUUUUAAUGAAACUUCUCCGUACAAGAGCAUUCCCUUGUCCAGAGGGCAUGCUUUUGAUGACCUCAACUGUUUAGACUAAGCACGGAGGUGCCUCCAAACAGAGAACAGCCGGCAGGGACACCACUUUCCAAUGGAACCCUCCAACCGCACGGAGUGGAAAUUAGCCUAAAAUUAAGCCUACCCUUUUAACGGUUUAUUAUUUAUCAGAGUAGAAGCUCCAGAAUAAGUGAGGUAGAGUAGCUGGAGGAUAAUAAACAGAUGUGAUGCCGAGAAGAUGACAGCAGGGACAGCAACUUCAAUUAGAAGUCAAGCAGCCCAGUGCAAUUUAAAAGCAUUGCUAUGGUCUCUGUCAUGAUGUGCUGGAGUCAUUAAAAGAGGUUUGAAUGAUAUUCAGUUUGCCCUGAAAGAAGCCAAAAGAAGGAAAUAAAAGAUGUGCUUAAUGAAGAGACAGAGACAUAGCUAUCAUUUUGUUUGAUGAUUUAUUUGCCUAUAGAGAAAACUUCAGGGCAUCAACUAAAAACCUGUUAAAAUAACACCUUAAUUCAUCUCAGUUUCCUCAUGGUUGUGAAGAUUAGCACUUGCACGUGGCCUGGAACAUGACAGAUCAUUGACAAGUGGCAGAGAGUACAUACAAGCUUCAAAUUAAAAAGUCUAGUGUUCUCGCUUACAUCAGAACUUAACAAUUAGAAACCAUAAAGGGGAAGAAAAGGAUACCUUCGUAAUAGCAAUAACAAGCCCCAAAUCAAAAAUCCCAAGAAAGAUACAGAAAUAUGUAGCACUUAUAUGAGGAAAAUGAUAAAACUGCAGAGGGAGAAAACAGAUUUGAAGAAAUUGAAAAGUAUACUAGAUACUGAAAGGUGAAGUAAGUCAUCGUAGAGAAGUUACUUUUUCCAAAUUAACUUAUAUACUGAGAGUAAUUCCAGGCAAAAUCUCUACAAUUUUUGGAACUUGGCAAAAUAUCUUAAAAUUUCAUCUGGAAUCAUAACAAAGUAUACUGAAGAAUAUCUGUGAAAAAGAAAGGAAGGUAGGGAUGGUCCUAACAUACAGAUUAUAUUAUAGAGUACAGAGGAGGAGAAACUUUUGUCUACCCUCUUAGGUUCUGUGCCUAGGCCUGAGAAUUAAAUUGACAUAGACAGCAAAAAAAAAAUACAAAUCUUAUUUACUAUUUUUACACACACAUGGGAGUCUCAUAAAGAAAAAGAAGCAGUUAGGACUGAGAACAUAUAUACUUUUAAACAGAGAAACAAGAAAUGUGUGGAUAAAUGACAAGACAAACGGAUUUGGGCUAGGGGUAAUAAACUGUGGGAAAGUGAUCAGGAAAUAUAUGGGGAAAAUUAAUGGAAGAUCAGGGUUAUUUUAGGAGGUUUGUACAGAUCCAUUUUGGUAUUGACUUCCAGUCUUCCGAAGUAAGAAGGGUGUUUUCUUCCUGGUAGAGUAAGGGCACCUUUCUCUUGGGAAUUUAUAACCUGCUUUAGGUAGAAAGGGGGAGAGCAUGGAGCCCCGCCUACAUCUGGGUUUCUCGAAUGACUUCAGCUCAAAAUAGUCAAUGCACCAAAAUGGCAUAUUUGGGAAUGACAUAUUCUGAGCCCCUUCGUCGGCUAUAAUGAUUAAAUCAAUACAGGAUGAGUGUGAACCUAUUCAGACUGAAGGAACAGACAGCUCAGAAACAAAUCACAGAAUUUAUUUCAUGAAAAAUGAGGCAUCACACAUCAACGGGGAAGAAACUUUACUUAAUAAAUGGUAUGGGAGAAAUCGUCAAUUAGUUGGGGAAAAAUCUAUUUUGAUUCUUGCUUUAUAUUCUAUACUAAAAUAAAUUCAAUGCAAAUUAAUGGAACUUAAAUUAUGGGCAAUCUUGCUUCUUCAUUCAGUGGGAAAACUGUAGGCAUUUCAGAUACACACCGCCCCCUCUACUCGCUAGCCAGCCUUUCUGACCCUGUACUCUGCCUUUCCUCGUAUUAUUUUAUAUU